rnacentral:misc_RNA from 1 species
CCCAACUAUCCCUAUUAAUCAUUACGGUGGUCCUAGAAACCAACAAAAUAGAACCUUUAGCCGUCCUAUUUUAUUAUUCCAUGCUAAUGUAUUCAGACGAUAAAGCCUGCUUUAAACACUCUAAUUUUUUCAAGGUAAUGGUCCUGGUUCCGACAGACACCAAAUGAAUGGAAUCUGCCCUCGCCAGAAGGUAAGAGAUCCGCGACGCCAGUGAUGGACAGUUAAGCCCAACCGACCCACGGCUCCCGAAAUUCAACUACGAGCUUUUUAACUGCAACAACUUUAAUAUACGCUAUUGGAGCUGGAAUUACCGCGGCUGCUGGCACCAGACUUGCCCUCCAA